rnacentral:rRNA from 1 species
CGGCUCGAUGCUGGGGGGCGCACCCCUUCGUGAACGUGUUUCUUUCGAGUCCGGAGCUCCCACUUCAAGCGUUACGUCUCGACCGCGUUAGGCCCCUCCGAGCGUAUGUAUAGGAGGUCGAACGGCCAACGGUGGUCUUCUUAAAGGAAAGGGGGGGGAGGGUGGCUCAAACCCCCAACAAUUAUGAAAGAAAUUCAUGUUCCUUCAUUCCUCGGACUGGUUCUCUGGCCAGAAAACACCCCAACUUCUCAAGGAGUGACCUUGCCAGGGUUUUUAUACACCUCCUAAAAAAGGAGGUUUUCUUUAACGAAGGGAAAAGGAACCGACAGGAAUCCCGCUUGUAACGGGGAGAGAGUGGCGAUAGCUAAAAUUUCAAUUUUGCACUUCGUCGGAGUUGUAAUCUCUAGUGGAUGUUUUGGUCGUGGUGCCAUCCGAGUUACCUGGAAACGGGAAGCUCAAGAGCGUAAGAGCCCCUUAGAGUGAGACAACCACGCCUCUGAAAAAGAGCAUUCGCCAAGUCGAGGAGUUGUGGAAGGAUCCUCAAAGAGGGGAGGUAGACUAAUCCUACAGGUAUAUCUCCGCCAGAGACGUAUCGUGCCCAGGAAGUGUGAUGGGAACCGCGAAAAGCACUUUAUAUAAAAAGUUACAACUCACGCGAAAGGGCCGAAAGUGAAGUGUGUGCGACCAGACCUUCUCUUAGCGGAUCUAGCGCAGUCCUUACCGGUGCACUUUCCUACGUCGAGUCAAGCAUUUGUAUUUGUAGGGGGAGUAAAGAUCGGGGAAAGUAGCUCCUCGGGGAGUGUGAUAUCCUUCGGCAUAAUACCAGUCCGGGGACCGAGGACCGCGAUUUGGCAAGGAGUCUGGAGUAAUAAUCAUCUCCGCCCCCUCCUGUAACAAGGACCAUGGCGUUGAACUCCCAACAGAGAGCAAGGGUGUUAAACCCUCACGCGUAAUGAAAGUGAAGGUCCUGCACAGCCCUCAAGGGUGCAUCAUCAACCCAUCCUGAGUUUUGGGAGGGAUUUGAGUUAGACAAUAAACAUUAGGACCCGCAAGAUGGUGCGUUCUGCAUCGAUAGGGGGAACCCAGGGGCAACUGUGGAAGAGGCUCGCAGAGGUUCUGAUAUGCAAAUAAUUCAAUAUCAUAUGCGCUCGGGGGGAAGCAGGCAUCGAACCCCGCACCUCCUGGUGUCCCCGGAAGUUUCCCUCUGGAACGCAGUGGGUGUGACCAGCCGCCGCGGUAAAGCGAAUGUUCCCGGGCUGGGGGGCGCUUCCAGCUUACGACUCACACCCCCCUCCCUUCCCGCCUACCGU